AACAUAUCUUGGGGGCAUUUUCUCAUCAAGUCUUUGUACCUUUCCCAUGCUUCAUACAAUGUCUCUCCAUCCUAUUGCUUGAAUGUCUGCACCUCUGUUCUGAGUUU